rnacentral:rRNA from 1 species
UGAGUACGAGAUGCUACGGCGUCGAAGCAGUCUAGGUCAUACUUCCAAGAAAAGCUUGCACUGUCAUAAACAAAGAAUGCCUGUACCAUAACCGACACAGGUGGGUAGGUAGAGUAUACUAAGGGGCGCGAGAUAACUCUCUCUAAGGAACUCGGCAAAAUGACUCCGUAACUUCGGGAGAAGGAGUGCCUUAUUUUUAAGGUUGCAAUAACAAGAUCCAAGCAACUGUUUACCAAAAACACAGGUCUCCGCUAAGUCGUAAGACGAUGUAUGGGGGCUGACGCCUGCCCAGUGCCAGAAGGUUAAAGAAGUUGGUUAGCAUUCGCGAAGCUGAUAACUGAAGCCCUGGUGAACGGCGGCCGUAACAAUAACGGUCCUAAGGUAGCGAAAUUCCUUGUCGGGUAAGUUCCGACCCGCACGAAAGGCGUAAUGAUUUGGAUACUGUCUCGGAGAGGGGCUCGGUGAAAUAGACUUGUCUGUGAAGAUGCGGACUACCUGCACCUGGACAGAAAGACCCUAUGAAGCUUUACUGUAACUUGAGAUUGAAAUUGGACUUUAUUUGCGCAGUAUAGGUGGGAGGCGUUGAGAAUAAUCUUGUGGGAUUAUCGGAGCCAUCAGUGAGAUACCACUCUUGUAAUGUUAGAUUUCUAACUUUGUAUCAUUAUCUGGUCAAAGAACAGUUUCAGGCGGGCAGUUUGACUGGGGCGGUCGCCUCCCAAAGGGUAACGGAGGCGCACAAAGGUUUCCUCUGAACGGGUAGAAAUCGUAUCUAGGGUGUAAAGGCAUAAGGAAGCUUGACUGUGAGACCUACAAGUCGAGCAGGGACGAAAGUCGGUCUUAGUGAUCUGACGGUGCUGAGUGGAAAGGCCGUCACUCAACGGAUAAAAGUUACUCUAAGGAUAACAGGCUGAUCUCCCCCAAGAGUUCACAUCGACGGGGAGGUUUGGCACCUCGAUGUCGGCUCAUCGCAUCCUGGGGCGGUAGUACGUCCCAAGGGUUGGGCUGUUCGCCCAUGAAAGCGGUACGCGAGCUGGGUUCAGAACGUCGUGAGACAGUUCGGUCCAUAUCCGGUGUAGGCGUUAGAAUAUUGAAAGGAGCCUUCUCUAGUACGAGAGGACCGAGAAGGACAUACCUCUGGUGUGCCAGUUAUCGUGCCAACGGUAAACGCUGGGUAGCUAUGUAUGGAGUGGAUAACCGCUGAAAGCAUCUAAGUGGGAAGCCCACCUUAAGAUAAGUAUUCUCAC